rnacentral:misc_RNA from 1 species
AUCUGUCUCUCUCUUUUUCUCUCUGUGAACCCUAAUUGGCUAAUUCAGCUUCACUCAACUGGUGGCUUUUGCUCCGCUUGUAGUUUCUGUGAGUAAUCAUCGAGAUAUUUGUGUCAGAAGAAUGGAUUCUGGAUCUGUUGAUUUAUCAACUCCAUCUGUUAAAGCUCCCAAUGUACAACCUCCUACUGCCACAGAUCCUGGAACAGAUAAUUCCCCACGUGAUGCACCUUCUAAGUUAUCUGCAGCUGGCAUAGCUUCAUGGGCAAAAAGUUUGAAAAUUCCCCAGCCAUCGUCUUCCUCACAAGAUGAGUCACCAACUGGAAAUUCUGGAAAAUCAAGUUUUGCUCGUUUUACUGGUGGUUUUGGACUGCGCAUGUCUCCAAAAUCCCCUCCAGCUGAUGAU